UACGUAGGGUGCGAGCGUUGUCCGGAAUUAUUGGGCGUAAAGGGCUCGUAGGCGGUCUGUCGCGUCGGGAGUGAAAACUCAGGGCUUAACCCUGAGCCUGCUUCCGAUACGGGCAGACUAGAGGUAUGCAGGGGAGAACGGAAUUCCUGGUGUAGCGGUGAAAUGCGCAGAUAUCAGGAGGAACACCGGUGGCGAAGGCGGUUCUCUGGGCAUCACCUGACGCUGAGGAGCGAAAGUGUGGGGAGCGAACAGG
rnacentral:rRNA from 1 species